rnacentral:pre_miRNA from 2 species
AGUUGAAUUGCUGGGUCACAUGGUCACUCAAUGUUUAACUUUUUGAGGAAAUGCCAAACUAUUUUCCAAAGUGAAUGCAUCAUUUUAAAUCCCCCACCAGCAAU